ACGCUCGACACCUACGGGGGCAGCAAUGGGGAAUAUUGCACAAUGGGGGAAACCCGUGAUGCAGCGACGCCGCGUGAGCGAAGAAGUAUUUCGGUAUGUAAAGCUCUAUCAGCAGGGAAGAAACUGACGGUACCUGACUAAGAAGCACCGGCUAAAUACGUGCCAGCAGCCGCGGUAAUCUGAGGCGGGCUGGCAAGGC
rnacentral:rRNA from 1 species